CGUCUUCAGGGUCCCUCAGGGAUCCAUACUAUCCUUGCCCCUCUCAUCAACGAAACCACUGGGAGAAGACGUGAGAUGCCAUGGGCUCAGCUGUCAACAAUAUGCAGAUGACACCCAACCCUAUAGCUCAUUUGCCACUGAUGCCACCACCACCAUUAGAAAGAUAUCAGAAUGGCUACAGGAAGUCAGCUCUUGGAAUGAGUGGAAACCUUACCCCCAGAUGAGGACCUGACCACAGUGUUCCAUGCAUUCAUCCCCUCUGGGCUGGCUUACUGUAAUUCAGUGUGUCUGAAGCUGAAUGUGAAGAUGAUGCACAGGCUCCAACGGGCACAGAAUGUGGCUGCCUGCAUUUUCUAUGGCUUAGGCCUCCACAGUCUAGUGCAGGUCAGGUCUAUGUUCAAGUCCUUCCACUGGCUUCCAGUCAGUUUCAGAUGCCAGUAAGACCUUGGUCCUAAUCUUCAAAGCAGUUACUGGUUCAAGGCUCAGCUACAUCAAUGACCAGAUUUCAAUCUAUGAACCUUUGAGACAAUGCAGAUCACAAAGGCUAGGCAUAAAGCAUUCCCAAUCAACGGACUGAAUUUCCAGAGCAAAUGAGGUAAAUCCAGACUCUGACUAUCUUUAGGAAACACUGCAAAACCUUUGAAAAAAGCUUUUCCACCAUAGCAAGGAUAACGUUCACAUCACCCCAUCUGCCUAAAUGCUUCCAUCACAUGAAGAAAUAAACUCUGUACCCCUCCUGUAAUACAAACAAAUCAACCAGCCAAAACCGACAACCAAACAAACUAAUAAGCAAAAAUACCCCAGAGUUUUUACCCCAAGAGGGGAGAAAUGCCAGAGACUCCAUCAAGACUACUAGGGACUUUGCUAUUGAUUUUACCUGGAAAAAGCUCAGAUACCAUGGUGAUGGGCAGCAGCAUAAAACCCUAAGACAGAUAGAAAUGAUCAAGUACAUAAAGUUUUGUGACCUGCUGUGUUACAAACAUUGAUUAAUUUGUCCGAUACCCAUAGCUAUAGAUGGAUGGUGUAGCUAUUACCUCCGAAGCUUUGACAUGUGGCAAAGAGUAGCUUAAUAGUUCAAUUAGCUCCUGGAAGGGCUCUUUAGGUGUGCCAAAUAAGCAGCAUGCAAUUUCUAUGAAAAAGCAAUGCUGCUGCUCCUUGUGAAGCUUUAACUUCCUGCAGUGCCAGAUGUAGCUAGUGUUUUACCAUUUCUUUCUUCAAAUAGCAGUGCUCAGGGGGGAUAAACUUUACUUAACCUAAUUAAUUUUAAUCACAGCUUUCAAAUCUCAUACUGUGCAAAGAAUUACAAAUUGGAAUACAUUAAUAGAAGCCAGGGUUUAUGCUGCAAGCUAAUUGUGAAAUGUGCAUUUAUAUUUUCUGCAUGAACUUGCAAUUACCAUUAAAAUAAAAUUCAGUUAUGUCCUUUUAAAUUACUAAAAUGUGAAGAACAGAUUGAGCUGGUCCCAUUUGUUGUACUAAAUGACUUGAAAAUGGCCUACAUUUCAAAGAAUUAAAUGACUCUCCUUGAA